rnacentral:rRNA from 1 species
GACGAACGCUGGCGGCGUGCUUAACACAUGCAAGUCGAACGGAAAGGCCCUGCUUUUGUGGGGUGCUCGAGUGGCGAACGGGUGAGUAACACGUGAGUAACCUGCCCUUGACUUUGGGAUAACUUCAGGAAACUGGGGCUAAUACCGGAUAGGAGCUCCUGCUGCAUGGUGGGGGUUGGAAAGUUUCGGCGGUUGGGGAUGGACUCGCGGCUUAUCAGCUUGUUGGUGGGGUAGUGGCUUACCAAGGCUUUGACGGGUAGCCGGCCUGAGAGGGUGACCGGCCACAUUGGGACUGAGAUACGGCCCAGACUCCUACGGGAGGCAGCAGUGGGGAAUAUUGCACAAUGGGCGGAAGCCUGAUGCAGCAACGCCGCGUGCGGGAUGACGGCCUUCGGGUUGCAAACCGCUUUCGCCUGUGACGAAGCGUGAGUGACGGUAAUGGGUAAAGAAGUACCGGCUAACUACGUG